GGUCACGAAGCCGAACGCGCCCCUGGACGAUCAUCGGCUGGCAACCUCGCAAACCGCGCAAGGUGCCCUCCAGGGAAGACCGGGCCUCCACAGCCCAAUGGAGGUAAGCGCGGAUC
rfam:Streptosporangium subroseum strain CGMCC 4.2132 genome assembly, contig: Ga0079903_1067